rnacentral:lncRNA from 1 species
CCUACCCCCUCCCUCCCCUCCCCUCAGCACUGUGCUCAUUUGUAUAUAUUUUUAUUACCCUAUUCAUUUUGUUAAUGAGGUGUACAUCCCCUUGAUUCUAUUUAUCGUGAUUAUGUUGUCUUGUUUUUGUCUGUUUCUCUCCCCCGAUUAGACUGUAAGCCCGUCAUUGGGCAGGGAUUGUCUCUAUCUGUUGCCAAAUUGUACAUUCCAAGCGCUUAGUACAGUGCUCUGCACACAGUAAGCACUCAAUAAAUACGAAUGAAUGAAUGAAUGAAUGAAUGAAUGAAUGAAUGAAUGAAUGAAUGAAACAAACUCAGGUGCAUUCCUCUCUCAACAGAUAUGGAGCUUCAUUCACGAACUACUGCACCACAUCAUUUGGGAGCCCCCCUCAAGAAGACUCUAUUGGUGACAUUUUGGAAUUAGAGCGACAAGGUGGGGAAGACAUCAGUGGAGCACUUCCUGUUGAAAGAACACUGAAUUGAGCGCUGGGAAAGCACUCCUGGCUGGGAAUCAGACCCGAUCAUUGCCCCUUGGGGUCUUCCGGUCUAACAGUUUCAGCGAGGGAGAGGCCUGGGCUAGACACAUGGGGAGUGACGAAAUGAUAAAGCACAACCCAAGGUGAGCCUUGGCGGGGACUGAUACAACAUGGGGAGGGAGAAAAGAGACAGGGAGCGAGGGGCCACCGCCCGUCCCCCCGAUGGUAGGUUUUCCCACCAGUCUGUUUCUUUCUAGAGUUCCCAUGGUGGAGUACGACUGGCAGAAAUUACACAAGUACCAGCAGAGAAGGCGGGCAUACAUCGUAAUCGAUGGGACUCUCCAAAAUUUACACCAAAUACUAGAGGAGGAGGAGAAGAAGAAGAUGAAAGAGAAGAAGGAAGAUGAGAAGAAGGAGAAGACGGAGGAGGAGAGGGAAGAUAAGAAGGAGGAGGAGGAAGACAAGAAGGAAGAGAAGACAGAGCAAAAGGAAGACAUGAAGGAGGAGAAGAUGGAGGAGAAGGAGGAAGACAAGAAGGAAGAGGAGGAGGAGAAGAUGGAAGAGGGGGAGAAAUAUGAAGGGCCCCAGCACUUUCUGUCCCCAGAGCCCGCCACAGAUGGUGAUGUUCUGCGGGCUGGGGACUCUGUUCCCAAAGCCCAGAAAAAUUUGGCCCGAGGCAAGAAAAGCCUCCAGAGAAAAGAGGAAAAGGGGAGGCUGGGCUGUAUGGCCCGUGUCCAGAGGUGGGUGAGGAAUUCCCUGCGGAGGAGUACCAGGGUGGAACCCUAGGGCGAUUCUCAUUUGACAGGAAGGAUCGACUGAAACCGAGUGUCUUUGUGGAGAUGUGUAUUGUAUGGGAGUGGGGAAGAAUUUAUAACGAAAUUUGCGUAGCUCCACAGCUUGAGAGUGUGGUUGGAGCUACCACUUUAGAAGCUUAAAAGGGAGAAUUUCUUUGUGUGAAGGCUCUUCCUUCGAACCGUGAUUAGCUCACUUUAUUGUGAAGUAUGGAUCUCAUGAAGGGAAAAGUGAGUUCUCAAUUGGUUAAGCAUGAAAAUGCAAAGCAGGUGAUAGUUUAGCCUAUAGGGUGGUUAUUUCAAAUACUGUCAGAGAUUCUACUGUGUUAACUGUAGAUUUUACUAAUUUGGUUAAGGGAUAUAUAGAUAAGUUGAAUAACAACUUUAAUCUUUAUAUCUGGCCAGAUGGCCUGAGUAAAGAAAUUUAUCUUGUUUUGUUGUUCAGUGUGGAACUAACAAUGUGUAAGGAAAAAAAGGAAUGUAAAGAAAACAUAUAUGUUCCCUUCUUUCAUCAAUUUGAAUAAAUGGGUAAAUGGAAAUUUG